UAAGGAAUAUUGGUCAAUGGACGCAAGUCUGAACCAGCCAUGCCGCGUGAAGGAUGAAGGCCCUCUGGAUUGUAAACUUCUUUUAUCUGGGACGAAAACGGGAUUUUUAUCUCAAUUGACGGUACCAGAGGAAUAAGCACCGGCUAACUCCGUGCCAGCAGCCGCGGUAAUACGGAGGGUGCGAGCGUUAUCCGGAUUUACUGGGUUUAAAGGGUGCGUAGGUGGGCUUAUAAGUCAGUGGUGAAAUCUCCGAGCUUAACUUGGAAACUGCCGUUGAUACUAUAGGUCUUGAAUUAUCUGGAGGUAAGCGGAAUAUGUCAUGUAGCGGUGAAAUGCUUAGAUAUGACAUAGAACACCAAUUGCGAAGGCAGCUUACUACAUAUAAAUUGACGCUGAGGCACGAAAGCGUGGGGAUCAAACA
rnacentral:rRNA from 1 species